rnacentral:rRNA from 1 species
UAAAGCGUGCGCAGGCGGUUUUGUAAGACUGUCGUGAAAUCCCCGGGCUCAACCUGGGAAUGGCGAUGGUGACUGCAAGGCUAGAGUUUGGCAGAGGGGGGUAGAAUUCCACGUGUAGCAGUGAAAUGCGUAGAUAUGUGGAGGAACACCGAUGGCGAAGGCAGCCCCCUGGGUCAAAACUGACGCUCAUGCACGAAAGCGUGGGGAGCAAACAGGAUUAAUACCCUAGU